ensembl:rRNA 5S_rRNA 5S ribosomal RNA
GUCUAUGGUCCUAUCACCCUGAGUGUCCCCGAUCUAUUCUGAUAUCAGAAGCUAAGUGGGGUUGGGCCUACAGAAUCUUGCUAUGUAUA